rnacentral:lncRNA from 1 species
CCAGGAUACAGUGUCUUAGCCUGAUAAGAGCUCUGACCUCCUGGGCUCCCCAUUUAUGCAGUAAAGAUCUUGUCUUGUCUUUUGUUAUCCCGCUACUACAUGCUUGGUAAGGUCAGUGGAGGUCUGAUCAGCUUCCAAUGAUAAGUUGGAACUGCUUUGGGGAUCCCAGAGAAUAACUGCAUCUUCAUAAUCAGUGUGACUUACAGGGGCACUGACUUUGCUGGGAAUGAAUUUUGUCACAGAUCUAGGACUAAACUUGAGCUCUGAACCUGUACUCUUUUAUAGACCAAGCUUCUGCCCCAA